UACGUAGGGGUCUAGCGUUGUCCGGAAUUAUUGGGCGUAAAGAGCUCGUAGGCGGUUUGUCGCGUCUGCUGUGAAAUCCCGAGGCUCAACCUCGGGUCUGCAGUGGGUACGGGCAGACUGGAGUGCGGUAGGGGAGACUGGAAUUCCUGGUGUAGCGGUGGAAUGCGCAGAUAUCAGGAGGAACACCGAUGGCGAAGGCAGGUCUCUGGGCCAUUACUGACACUGAGAAGCGAAAGCAUGGGGAGCGAACAGG
rnacentral:rRNA from 1 species